rnacentral:rRNA from 1 species
UAGGGAAUCUUCCGCAAUGGACGAAAGUCUGACGGAGCAACGCCGCGUGAGUGAAGAAGGAUUUCGGUUCGUAAAACUCUGUUGUUAGGGAAGAAAAAAUGUAUAGUAACUAUAUACAAAAGAGACGGUACCUAACCAGAAAGCCACGGCUAACUACGUGCCAGCAGCCGCGGUAAUACGUAGGUGGCAAGCGUUGUCCGGAAUUAUUGGGCGUAAAGCGCGCGCAGGUGGUUUAGAAAGUCUGAUGUGAAAGCCCACGGCUCAACCGUGGAGGGUCAUUGGAAACUAAUAAACUUGAGUGCAGGAGAGAAAAGUGGAAUUCCUAGUGUAGCGGUGAAAUGCGUAGAGAUUAGGAGGAACACCGGUGGCGAAAGCGGCUUUCUGGACUGCAACUGACACUGAGGCACGAAAGCGGGGGUAGCAAACAGG